rnacentral:rRNA from 1 species
CAGCAGCCGCGGUAAUACAGAGGUCUCAAGCGUUGUUUCGGAUUCAUUGGGCGUAAAGGGUGCGCUAGGUGGCGCCAUAAGUCGGGUGUGAAAUUUCGGAGCUUAACUCCGAAACUGCAUUCGAUACUGUGGUGCUUGAGGACUGGAGAGGAGACUGGAAUUUACGGUGUAGCAGUGAAAUGCGUAGAGAUCGUAAGGAAGACCAGUGGCGAAGGCGGGUCUCUGGACAGUUCCUGACACUGAGGCACGAAGGCCAGGGGAGCAAACGGGAUUAGAUACCCCGGUAGUCCUGGCAGUAAACGGUGCACGUUUGGUGUGGGGGGAUUCGACCCCUUCCGCGCCGGAGCUAACGCGUUAAACGUGCCGCCUGGGGAGUACGGUCGCAAGAUUAAAACUCAAAGAAAUUGACGG